rnacentral:rRNA from 1 species
UACGAAGGGGGCUAGCGUUGUUCGGAAUUACUGGGCGUAAAGCGCGCGCAGGCGGUCUUCCAAGUCAGUGGUGAAAGCCCGGAGCUCAACUCCGGAACUGCCAUUGAAACUGUGAGACUUGAGUACGAGAGAGGUGAGUGGAAUUCCCAGUGUAGAGGUGAAAUUCGUAGAUAUUGGGAAGAACACCGGUGGCGAAGGCGGCUCACUGGCUCAUUACUGACGCUCAGGCGCGAUAGCGUGGGGAUCAAACAGG